GGGUCUCGAGGUGGACGUUGACCGUUUGUCCCAACGGGGACGGGCGGGUCCAAACAACGUGGCUGUGUAAUCAAACCCGUGACCUCACAGAAACGAGUCACCAGCGCUGACUGAGCCCAGGAAAUAAAACAGAGACACGAAGCAGGGCGAUUUCUGUCGUCAUCACGGUCGACCUCCGAGUUCUUCUUCUGCGCGCGUGACGCUUUAAAGCUCCAGUCAGCUGCUCACCUGCGUGGAAAUGACGGAUUUCUGUUGCCGCGUUGGAACCAGUUUGUAAGCGUGCUGCUUUCACUGUGUUCUGUCAGCACACGAGACGGCCCACUUGUUCCUCUUGAUCCGAUCGACGCUUCGGCCUUCAUCGGGUGGUAUCUGCUCGGGGAGCUUAGCUCAUGCGGGUUCACGCAGACGCUGUCUCUCCUCGUCUCCGUAAAUCAGGAUUACGGUGCCGUCACUUGCAAUUAUGACAACAAUCAACACCCGGGACGAACGCGUCUCCGUCCCUCCGGUCAAUCCAUCGGCUCCCUUCACACCUGCUCCUCUCACGUCACCCUCCUCCUCCUCCUCCUCCUCUUCCUCUGUCUGUCUCCUUGUCAACAAAAAGAUCUUCAGACGAGAUUCAGGAUGAUGGAGUCAGGAGAUCAACACACACACACACACACA
ensembl:lncRNA